rnacentral:lncRNA from 1 species
GCUCUGGCCACCCAAAUCCUGAACUGGAGUAAGUGAAUUGCAGAAAAGCUGUACCCCUUCAUCAGAGAAUAUUGUGGAGGAGAGGUCACAGACACACUUGGAAUGAAGUUUCAACUAGUUUUGAAUAAUUGAGAAGUAAUUUCCAUCAGCCCAACCCUCCUGCAGAUAACAUUUCCAAACUCUGGACAAAAUAUACAUGGUAUGAACCUGAAAACACUGGAAAGCGAACAAAAGCCAGCAGAAACUGAGCAGCAGUUCAUACCAGGAGAGCGAAGGGCACUGGAUGAGCUACCUACUUUUUAAGGCUUUUUCCUGAGGGCAGACCCCAACAGGCAGAGACUGGAUGCUAAAACUCAGAAAAACUUUUUAAUCUUGAUGGUUUCAGAACUAGAGGACACAGACUGGUGUUACCACAGGAGUAAGAAGGGAAAGAGGAAAUGUGGAAAUGAGAGAGCCACAGAGAAUGCUACGUUCUGCAUAAAAACAUUGUCUUAAUCUCUGGUUGAGCCUGAAAUAUGCCUAUGCAAGACUGAACCUAAGUUAACAGAUUGGAAAUUGAAACUGCUGCCUACUACUAGAAGAACAGAAUUUAGAGUCUGAGUUUAAACAAGUUUACUGCCUAUUAAAAUUAAAAAUCAAUACUAACAGAGGUUCAUAACAGAAUCCAGAUUCACUAAUAUGUCAUUCAUAAUAUUCUAGAUUCAAUACAAAUUUCUAGACAUAUGAAGAAACAGGAAACUGUUACCUACACUUGAAAGAAAAGCAGACUGACUCUGAGAUGACUCAAAUGUUAGAAUUAGUAGACAAAAAUUUCAAGCUACUAUUAUAACCAUGCUCAGGGAUAUAAGGAAAAAUAAUGGUCUCUGCCAGGCACAGUGGCUCAGACCUGUAAUCCCAGCACUUUGGGAGGCCGAGGCAGGCGGAUCACUUGAGGUCAGGAAUUCGAGAUCAGCCUGGGCAACAUAAUGAAACCCCAUCUCUACCAAAAAUUACAAAAUUAGCCUGGUGUGGUGGCACAUGAGUGUAAUCUCAGCUACUCGGGAGGCUGAGGCAGGAGAAUCCCUUGAACCUGGGAGGUGGAGGUGGUUGCAGUGAGCCAGAGAUCAUGCCAGUGCACUUAAGCCUGGGUGACAGAGUGAGAUGCUGCCACCAAAAAAAAAAAAAAAAAGAAAGAAAGGAAAUUAUCUUAAUAAACAAUCUCACAAAAGAAAAAUGAAUUAUGAAAAACUGGAAAUUCUAGAGGAGAAAAUUACAAUAUUGUAAAUAAAAUAUUGUUGGAUGAACUUAACAGCAGUUGGGAGAUGACAGAAGGAGCAGCCAGUGAAAACUUGAAGACAGAGCAAAAGAAAUAAUACACCCUGAAGAAAAGAGAGCAGAAAAGACUAAACAUAAUUAAAUACAACCUUUGUGACUUGUGGGACCACAUAAAAAAGAUAAGCAAAUAUGGCUAGGCAUGGUGGCUCAUGCCUGUAAUCCCAGCACUUUGAGAGACCAAGGUAGGAAGGUUGCUUGAGGCUAGGAAGUCAAGACCAAGACCAGCCUGACCAACAUAGCGAGACUCCUUUGCUACAAUUUUUUUUUUUUUUGUUAGCCAGAUGUGUUGGUAUGCACCUGCAGUCCCAACUUGGGAGGCUGAGACGGGAGGAUUGCUUGAAUCUGGGAGGUCAAGGCUGCAAUGAGCCAUGAUUGUGCCAAACUGGAAUCCCAGGAAAAAGGGACUGAUAGCUUGGAAGGGAAAAAAAUCUUUGAAGAAAUAAAUUUACAGAUUCAAAAAUCUUGCAUUUAGCCUGAGAAAAAUGGCAGAUUUCAUGGCAGAACAUUAUAAAUUUUCUCUGACAUCUCAUUAGAACUAAUAGGUGCCAGAAGAGAAUGGAACUAUAUCUUGAAAGUGCUAAAAGUAAAAUGAGAAAGGAGAGGGAAGAGGGGAAGGGGAGGGAAGGGGAGAGAAAGAAAGAGAGAAAGAGAGAAAGAGGGAGAAAGAGAGAAAGAAAGAGAAAGAAAGAAAGGAAGAAAGAAAGAGAAAAAGAAAGGAAAAAGAGAGAGAAAGGAAGGAAGGAAGGGAGAGAGAAAGGAAGGAAGGAAGGGAGAGAGAAAGAAAGGAAGAAAGAGAAAAAAAGGGGAAAGAAAGAAAAAAAGAAAAAUUAAACUUUUAAAUUUAAAAUUCUGUAUCCCGUAAAAUCAUCCUUUAAGAAUUAAGAUGAAACAGAGAUAUUUUCGGAUAAAAUAAAACUAGAGAAUUCAUCACCAGCAGACAAUACCAUAAGAAAUUCAAAAGUUCUCCAGGCUGAAGAUAAAUCACACCAGAUUGAAACAUGUUUCUUCUGUAAGAAAUGAAGAAUAUCAGAAAUGAUAAAUGUGUAGGUAAAUAUUUUUUAAAACAAUUUUUUUCUUAAUUUUCUUAAAAGACAUAUGGCUAUGUAAAGCAAAUGUUGUAAGAUUGAAUUGUGGGGCUUAUAACAUUUCUAUACAUAAAAAAUAACAACUAUAGCAUAAAGACCAGUGUUGGGAGGUAAAUGAACUUAUAUGAUUGCAAGUUUUGUUCAUUUAACAUUAAGUGGCACACCAAUAACUUUAAGGAGAUUGAAACAUUAAAAAUGUAUGUUGAAAUUCCCUAUAGCUACCACUUGAAUAACAACAACAAGGAGAGCAACAAUAAUAACACAAAAGGGACAGCUGAAAAGGUAAUAGAAAAAUUAAAAUGAAACUCUAAAAAAUAUUAAACUAACUCAAAAGCAGGAAAGGAAAAACAGA